AGUAUUGCUCCUGGAAAUCUGGCUCCAACACAGCAGAUACCUCAGCUUCAGGGAAGGGGUUUGCCACCUCUUUCUUGGUCAGGGUUGCCCAGUCUUUUGCAAAACCCAGAGGAAUGUGUACAGAAGGCAGAAUGAGGGUCCCAAAGCCCUCUCUCCUUGAGACAGGUCUCCCCCUCAUUAGACUUGCUCCUUGCUUCAAGCAGUAGCCAUUCCCUGACUGGACUGAGCACAAACUUUGGAUAUGCAAAAGUGUAGGUUCUGGGGGGAAAAAAGGAAUGCUAGUGGGUCUGAAGCAGUCUGUAUGCAGUGCAGGUAGUGUUGUUUCAUACUAAAUCUAAGCCAACCUUCCUCUGCAUAGCAAGAGGUUAUGAUGUGUAGCUUUUUCCUGAUAGCUGGGGAUCCACUUUUUCUUGGAGGCUUGAAAAUCUUUCUUUGUGAGCACCUGGAGAUUUUUCAUGUGUGCUCUCGUGUGAAGAAAAAGAAGGCUGGAAACCCGAGCCAGCACCUCUGAUCCUGGACAAUCUUUGGAGGGAGAGAAUGAGAGAAAAGGAGAAGUAAUUCACAAUUCUGCCUUUGAAUCCUUCACACUCUGGCUGGACUUUUUUUGCACGCCUGUGUUUGCAGUGCACAUACCUGGUGGCCUGAAACAUAUUAUAAACAUGCUGGGAAGAGAGGAGGACAGAACUUACAUCUUACUUGGCACACUGUCAACUAUGGGAGAAGAUUGUAAGAAAAGCCAUGGGAAUACCUUGAGUUAAUGGCCAAAGCAUGCUGCAGGCUACACAUUGCAGCUAUGGCAAUUCAGGGGUUUUAUCUUUGCUUCAGAAGUAACAGUCCCUUCCCUCUCAAUAUAUGGGAACACUUACCAGAGAUAACCUCAAGACCCUGCAGCACCUGGGAGGAAGCAUCUCAGAAGAGACUGGUGUGAUGAGGAGUCACUGAUACCAGACACGAGCACAGUGUGAGGCAAGAUUGUUCCUCUAAAAGAAUAUGCUCCCUUUCUGCUGUAAUAUCCAGCACUCCUACUAAACCCUGUUCCUAGAAGAGACCCAUCAGUGCUCUGAAAAUGGGAGCUCAGCAGCAGCGCUCUGUCUGGUGAAAGGUGUGACCCCAGAUGAACAGAGUUGGCAUCUUUGUUUAUAGAAAUACCUUUUUUCCUUUUCUGUUUUGUCUUUUCUUUUUUUUCCAAUUUACAAUCACUUUCUAUUUGUU
rnacentral:lncRNA from 1 species